rnacentral:ncRNA from 2 species
UCUUGGAGUAGGUCAUUGGGUGGA